UGGGGAAUAUUGGACAAUGGGCGAAAGCCUGAUCCAGCAAUGCCGCGUGAGUGAUGAAGGCCUUAGGGUUGUAAAGCUCUUUUACCAGGGAUGAUAAUGACAGUACCUGGAGAAUAAGCUCCGGCUAACUCCGUGCCAGCAGCCGCGGUAAUACGGAGGGAGCUAGCGUUGUUCGGAAUUACUGGGCGUAAAGCGCACGUAGGCGGCGAUUCAAGUCAGAGGUGAAAGCCCGGGGCUCAACCCCGGAACUGCCUUUGAAACUAGAUUGCUAGAAUCCUGAAGAGGUGAGUGGAAUUCCGAGUGUAGAGGUGAAAUUCGUAGAUAUUCGGAAGAACACCAGUGGCGAAGGCGACUCACUGGACAGGUAUUGACGCUGAGGUGCGAAAGGCGUGGGGAGCAAACAGGAUUAGAUACCCUGGUAGUCCACGCCGUAAACCGAUGAUAACUAGCUGUCCGGGCUCAUAGAGCUUGGGUGGCGCAGCUAACGCAUUAAGUUAUCCGCCUGGGGAGUACGGUCGCAGGAUUAAAACUUAAAGGAA
rnacentral:rRNA from 1 species